GAUGAACGCUGGCGGCGUGCCUAAUACAUGCAAGUCGAGCGAACGGACGAGAAGCUUGCUUCUCUGAUGUUAGCGGCGGACGGGUGAGUAACACGUGGAUAACCUACCUAUAAGACUGGGAUAACUUCGGGAAACCGGAGCUAAUACCGGAUGAUAUUUUGAACCGCAUGGUUCAAAAGUGAAAGACGGUCUUGCUGUCACUUAUAGAUGGAUCCGCGCUGCAUUAGCUAGUUGGUAAGGUAACGGCUUACCAAGGCAACGAUGCAUAGCCGACCUGAGAGGGUGAUCGGCCACACUGGAACUGAGACACGGUCCAGACUCCUACGGGAGGCAGCAGUAGGGAAUCUUCCGCAAUGGGCGAAAGCCUGACGGAGCAACGCCGCGUGAGUGAUGAAGGUCUUCGGAUCGUAAAACUCUGUUAUUAGGGAAGAACAUAUGUGUAAGUAACUGUGCACAUCUUGACGGUACCUAAUCAGAAAGCCACGGCGAACUACG
rnacentral:rRNA from 1 species